CUACGGGGCGUACCAGUGGGGAAUAUUGGACAAUGGGGGAAACCCUGAUCCAGCAAUGCCGCGUGUGUGAAGAAGGCCUGCGGGUUGUAAAGCACUUUCGGUUGGGAGGACUGCUUCUAGCACUAAUAUUGUUGGAAGUUGACGUUACCUUCAGAAGAAGCACCGGCUAACUCCGUGCCAGCAGCCGCGUGUAAUACGGAGGGUGCAAGCGUUAAUCGGAAUUACUGGGCGUAAAGCGCGCGUAGGCGGCUAGAUCAGUCGGGUGUGAAAGCCCCGGGCUUAACCUGGGAACUGCAUCCGAUACUGUCUAGCUUGAGUACAGGAGAGGAGAGUGGAAUUCCACAUGUAGCGGUGAAAUGCGUAGAUAUGUGGAGGAACACCAAUGGCGAAGGCAGCUCUCUGGCCUGAUACUGACGCUGAGGUGCGAAAGCGUGGGGAGCAAACAGGAUUAGAUACCCCAGUAGUC
rnacentral:rRNA from 1 species